rnacentral:rRNA from 1 species
UACGUAGGGGGCGAGCGUUGUCCGGAAUCAUUGGGCGUAAAGGGCGCGUAGGCGGCUGUAUAAGUCUGAUGUGAAAGUGCGGGGCUUAACCCCGUAAAGCAUUGGAAACUGUACGGCUUGAGGACAGGAGAGGAAAGUGGAAUUCCUAGUGUAGCGGUGAAAUGCGUAGAUAUUAGGAGGAACACCAGUGGCGAAGGCGACUUUCUGGACUGUAACUGACGCUGAGGCGCGAAAGCGUGGGGAGC